rnacentral:rRNA from 1 species
AUGAAUAGUACAAAUUGCGCCACAAUGAGUUGGAACGUGCGAGGGCUAAAUUCGCUAGCCAGAAGAGACACGGCUUGCGAGGUAGCAUACACCCAUAGGCUAGUCGUGUUGUGCCUUCAAGAGACCAAAACUGAAACUUGGUCCCCAACGCUAGUGAAAGAAGUAGGAGGUAGCCGUUUAGACGCCUGCACGGUCCUGCCGGCAGACGGCACGCGGGGAGGAGUUGCGAUCUUUUGGGACUCCUCCAAGAUCACCAUCAUCACCAAUGUGAUCAGCCAAUUCUCCAUCACAGCUUGAGCAACACUUCUGCACAGCAACAACUGCUUCUCGAUCACCACCGUCUACGGUCCAACCGACGACAACCACAAAGGUGCAUUCCAGGCAGAGUUGAUCAGGGUCAUGCCGCCAGUUGGGGAGCCUUGGUUAAUAACGGCGACUUCAACAUAA